rnacentral:rRNA from 1 species
GAUGAGCGCUAGCGGCAGGCCUAACACAUGCAAGUCGAGGGGUAUAGUUCUUCGGAACUAGAGACCGGUGCACGGGUGCGUAACGCGUAUGCAAUCUACCUUAUACAGGGGAAUAGCCCAGAGAAAUUUGGAUUAAUGCCCCAUAGUGUUAUAGAAUCGCAUGGUUUUGUAACUAAAGUUCCAACGGUAUAAGAUGAGCAUGCGUCCCAUUAGUUAGCUGGUAAGGUAACGGCUUACCAAGACAAUGAUGGGUAGGGGUCCUGAGAGGGAGAUCCCCCACACUGGUACUGAGACACGGACCAGACUCCUACGGGAGGCAGCAGUGAGGAAUAUUGGUCAAUGGGCGCAAGCCUGAACCAGCCAUGCCGCGUGCAGGAAGAAGCAUCUAUGGUGUGUAAACUGCUUUUAUACAGGAAGAAACACCUCCACGUGUGGAGGC